rnacentral:tRNA from 1 species
GCCCAGGUGGUGAAAUGGUAAACACGCUAGAUUCAGGUUCUAGUGCUCGCAAGGGUUUGGAGGUUCAACUCCUCUCCUGGGCA